UACGUAGGUGGCGAGCGUUGUCCGGCAUUACGGGGCGUAAAGGGUGCGUAGGCGGCUCCUUAAGUGAGGUGUGAAAUCCCUGGGCUCAACCCAGGAACUGCACUUCAAACUGGGGAGCUAGAGUGCAGGAGAGGAAAGCGGAAUUCCCGGUGUAGCGGUGAAAUGCGUAGAGAUCGGGAGGAACACCAGUGGCGAAGGCGGCUUUCUGGACUGUAACUGACGCUGAGGCACGAAAGCGUGGGGAGCAAAUAGG
rnacentral:rRNA from 1 species